rnacentral:rRNA from 1 species
UACGUAGGUGACAAGCGUUGUCCGGAUUUACUGGGCGUAAAGAGCGCGCAGGCGGUCGAUCAAGUCGAGUGUGAAAGCCCCCGGCUCAACUGGGGAGGGUCAUUCGAUACUGAUCGACUCGAAGGCAGGAGAGGGUAGUGGAAUUCCCGGUGUAGCGGUGAAAUGCGCAGAUAUCAGGAGGAACACCAAUUGCGAAGGCAGCUCGCUGGGACGUUACUGACGCUGAGACGCGAAAGCGUGGGGAGCAAACAGG